rnacentral:rRNA from 1 species
CAGUCGCCGCGGUAAUGCGUAGGGUGCGAGCGUUAAUCGGAAUUACUGGGCGUAAAGCGUGCGCAGGCGGUUUUGUAAGACAGGCGUGAAAUCCCCGGGCUCAACCUGGGAAUGGCGCUUGUGACUGCAAAGCUAGAGUGCGGCAGAGGGGGAUGGAAUUCCGCGUGUAGCAGAGAAAUGCGUAGAUAUGCGGAGGAACACCGAUGGCGAAGGCAAUCCCCUGGGCCUGCACUGACGCUCAUGCACGAAAGCGUGGGGAGCAAACAGGAUUAGAUACCCCCGUAGUCCCUGUCUCUUAUAC